rnacentral:rRNA from 1 species
UACGGGGGGAGCAAGCGUUGUUCGGAUUUACUGGGCGUAAAGGGCGCGUAGGCGGCCACGCAAGUCGACUGUGAAAUCUCCGGGCUUAACCCGGAAAGGUCAGCCGAUACUGCGGGGCUAGAGUGCAGAAGGGGCAACUGGAAUUCUCGGUGUAGCGGUGAAAUGCGUAGAUAAUCGAGAGGAACACCUGCGGCGAAGGCGGGUUGCUGGGCUGACACUGACGCUGAGGCGCGAAAGCUAGGGGAGCGAACGGGA